AUUGAACGCUGGCGGCAGGCCUAACACAUGCAAGUCGAGCGGAGCGGCGGACGGGUGAGUCAUGCCUAGGAAUCUGCCUGGUAGUGGGGGAUAACGUCCGGAACCGGGCGCUAAUACCGCAUACUAUCAGAUGAGCCUAGGUCGGAUUAGCUAGUUGGUGGGGUAAAGGCCUACCAAGGCGACGAGCCGUAACUGGUCUGAGAGGAUGAUCAGUCACACUGGAACUGAGACACGGUCAAGACUCCGACGGGAGGCAGCAGUGGGGAAUAUUGGACAAUGGGCGAAAGCCUGAGCCAGCCAGGCCGCGUGUGUGAAGAAGGUCUUCGGAUUGUAAAGCACUGUAAGUUGGGAGGCGGUACCAACAGAAUAAGCACCGGCUAACUGCGUGCCAGCAGCCGCGGUAAUAC
rnacentral:rRNA from 1 species